GCCCUUGCUGACGAGAUGGCUGAUCAAGUAUAUCCUUAAUGGGCUUGGAGCAUAUUAUAAUCCUUUUCUGUCCUCUGUUGCUAUGAAGGACAAUCUAUCCUUGAGUGAUGUAUAUGGGCAACUUCUUUCCUAUGAAG
rnacentral:snoRNA from 1 species